rnacentral:lncRNA from 1 species
CAACAUUUUCAAGAAUGUGUUUUUAUCCAGGCUAAGGGUGCUUUCUCAUCUUUUUUCCUUCUCAGUCAUCAAGUGCAUAUAAAGGGAGGGUCCACGCCCAGGGUUGCCAAGCAGUGGGCAUCCUGCAAACUCUAAGUCUAUUCCUGAAAGUGUUCUCCUCCUAUGUCCAAGGACCAUGGUCUCCUUGGUGGUCCUCUCCAUCCUCAUCAUCUUGGUAGCAGGCCUGUGCUUUGAACCCAAGCAUGUUACCCUGGCAACUCCAAGACUCUAAGCAAGACCAGUGUUGAUCUACCUUGGUGGAGGGAAUUUCCAUACUAGGAUGCUUACACCCCAAUUGAAGGAUUCCAACCCAAAAGAUCAUUCUUCCAAUCAUUUUGCCUGUCUGUGAGACAUGUAACACUAAAGUCUCUGAAGAACUGAGACCUAAGGACAGUGGAGAGGAGUCAAAAGAAUCAUCUGAGGAUCACCUAGAUUCAGAAUGACCGUGUCUUCACUUUGCUCCUUCUCUUACACACAGACAUGACACCCCAAAGGACUGCUGCUUCCACUAUUCCUCUUGCAAGAUUCCCAGUGUAGUUGCUUGUUAUGAGACCAGCAGCUGGUGCCCCAAGCCAGGAGUCAUGGUCAUCACCAAGACACAGCGCCAGUUCUGUGUCCACCCAAGGAAUGUCACAAACUGUGGCAUUUCCCUACUACCAGAGAAAGUCCUAGAGAUGGAAAUCUUCUAGAAGAUUAUGGAAUACCAUUCUCAGAUAACACCUCCCUAUAUAUGCAUAUGAUUUCUCAAAAAUAAACUUACAUUGGACUUAAUAGGACUCA